AACGAACGCUGGCGGCAGGCUUAACACAUGCAAGUCGAGCGCCCCGCAAGGGGAGCGGCAGACGGGUGAGUAACGCGUGGGAAUCUACCUUUUGCUACGGAAUAACGCAGGGAAACUUGUGCUGAUACCGUAUGUGUCCUUCGGGAGAAAGAUUUAUCGGCAAGAGAUGAGCCCGCGUUGGAUUAGCUAGUUGGUGGGGUAAAGGCCUACCAAGGCGACGAUCCAUAGCUGGUCUGAGAGGAUGAUCAGCCACAUUGGGACUGAGACACGGCCCAAACUCCUACGGGAGGCAGCAGUGGGGAAUAUUGGACAAUGGGCGCAAGCCUGAUCCAGCCAUGCCGCGUGAGUGAUGAAGGCCCUAGGGUUGUAAAGCUCUUUCACCGGAGAAGAUAAUGACGGUAUCCGGAGAAGAAGCCCCGGCUAACUUCGUGCCAGCCGCCGCGGUAA
rnacentral:rRNA from 2 species